GACACAGGUGUGCUAGGCGAGUAUCCGAAGGCGUUCGGGAGAACCCUCGUGAAGGAACUCGGCAAAAUGUCCCCGUACCUUCGGUACAAGGGGUGCUCUCCGCAAGGAGAGCCGCAGAGAAUCGGCUCUAGCGACUGUUUAUCAAAAACACAGGACUCUGCCAACUCGCAAGAGGACGUAUAGAGUCUGACGCCUGCUCGGUGUCGGUAGGUUAAGGGAGCCGAUGAGGCGAGAGCCGAAGUUGGCGACCGAAGCCCCGAUAAACGGCGGCCGUAACUAUGACGGUCCUAAGGUAGCGAAGUUCCUUGUCGGGUAAGUUCCGACCUGCAUGAAUGGCGUAACGACUGGAGCACUGUCUCCACGAGGGACCCGGUGAAACUGUAGCCGUGGUGAAGAUGCCACGUACCCGCGGUCAGACGGAAAGACCCCGUGAACCUUUACUGCAGGUUGGCAUUGGGUCAGCGUCCUUUCUGUGUAGCAUAGGUGGGAGGCCGUGAUCCGGCGGCGCCAGCCGUCGGGGAGCCAUCGGUGAAAUACCACCCUGAAAUGACUCUGAUCCUCACCGGUCCGUAGCCCGGACCGGGACCAUGCUCAUCGGGCAGUUUGACUGGGGCGGUCUCCUCCCAAAGCGUAACGGAGGAGUGCAAUGGUACCCUCGGCCAGGUCGGCAAUCUGGCAACAUGAGCGCAAACGUAGAAGGGUGCCUGACUGCGAGACCCAUCAGUCGAGCAGGGACGAAAGUCGGCGUUAGUGAUCCGGCGGUGCUGGAUGGAAAGGCCGUCGCUCAACAGAUAAAAGGUACUCCGGGGAUAACAGGCUGAUCUCCCCCGAGCGUCCAUAGCGGCGGGGAGGUUUGGCACCUCGAUGUCGGCUCAUCGCAUCCUGGGGCUGGAGAAGGUCCCAAGGGUUUGGCUGUUCGCCAAUGAAAGCGGUACGCGAGCUGGGUUCAGACCGUCGUGAGACAGGUCGGUCCCUAUCUGCCGUGGGCGGAGGAAACUUGCGAAGGGUCUCCCCUAGUACGAGAGGAUUGGGGAGGACCGACCUCUGGUGUACCGGCUGUCCCGCUCGGGGCACCGCCGGGUAGCUAGGUCGGGAAAGGAUAAGCGCUGAAGGCAUCUAAGCGCGAAGCCCUCUUCAAGACGAGGUUUCCAGCACGCAAGUGCGAAGGCUCCUGGAAGACGACCAGGUCGAUAGGCCGGGAGUGCACGGCGAGCGAUCGCCGCAGCCGACCGGUCCUAACAGCCGAUCGCUUGACCAC
rnacentral:rRNA from 1 species